CCAAACUUGCGUUUAGAUUUUGAUUGAAGUUGAACAAGUCGUCUACCGCGACUACGCUGCACUCCCAUUUGAGUAAAAAGAGUUGAGGGUCUCCUACUGCACCCUCAAACCCAAAGCUCCACCAUGACAACAACACCAACAAAGUUAAAGCUACGAGGUUGAAUUGCACCAUUUUCUUGGGAUUCUCAAAUUAACUCGAUCUGUAUAUAUCUAAGUUUCAAAAGAAGGAUUGAUACUGGCCUCAG
rnacentral:lncRNA from 1 species